UACGUAGGGGGCUAGCGUUAUCCGGAAUUACUGGGCGUAAAGGGUGCGUAGGUGGUUUCUUAAGUCAGAGGUGAAAGGCUACGGCUCAACCGUAGUAAGCCUUUGAAACUGGGGAACUUGAGUGCAGGAGAGGAGAGUGGAAUUCCUAGUGUAGCGGUGAAAUGCGUAGAUAUUAGGAGGAACACCAGUUGCGAAAGCGGCUCUCUGGUCUGUAACUGACGCUGAGGUUCGAAAGCGUGGGUAGCAAACAGG
rnacentral:rRNA from 1 species